GGCGGACGGCUCAGGACAACGGUUGCACCCCCCGCGGCGGUCCCUGCUAGCCGGACACCGCUGGCAACCCGGCGCCAAGACGUGCGCGCAAGUGCGGGCGCCCGCGGGCGAGCAGCGUGACGCAGAAC
rnacentral:rRNA from 1 species